UACGAAGGGAGCUAGCGUUGUUCGGAAUCACUGGGCGUAAAGCGCACGUAGGCGGAUUUGUCAGUCAGGGGUGAAAUCCCGGGGCUCAACCUCGGAACUGCCUUUGAUACAGCAAGUCUUGAGUUCGAGAGAGGUGGGUGGAAUUCCUAGUGUAGAGGUGAAAUUCGUAGAUAUUCGCAAGAACACCAGUGGCGAAGGCGGCUCACUGGCCCGGUACUGACGCUGAGGUGCGAAAGCGUGGGGAGCAAACAGG
rnacentral:rRNA from 1 species